rnacentral:rRNA from 1 species
GGAAUCUUGCACAAUGGGGGAAACCCUGAUGCAGCGACGCCGCGUGAGCGAUGAAGCCCUUCGGGGUGUAAAGCUCUUUCGGCAGGAACGAUAAUGACGGUACCUGCAGACGAAGCUGCGGCUAACUACGUCCCAGCAGCCGCGGUAAUACGUAGGCAGCAAGCGUUGUUCGGAAUUACUGGGCGUAAAGAGUGUGUAGGUGGUGUCGUAAGUUUGGUGUGAAAUCUCCCGGCUUAACUGGGAGGGUGCGCCGAAGACUGCGAUGCUUGAGUAUGGGAGAGGAAAGCGGAAUUCCUGGUGUAGCGGUGAAAUGCGUAGAUAUCAGGAGGAACACCUGCGGUGUAGACGGCUUUCUGGACCAUUACUGACACUGAGACACGAAAGCGUGGGUAGCAAAC